rnacentral:misc_RNA from 1 species
GAUGAAGAACGUAGCGAAAUGCGAUAAGUAAUGUGAAUUGCAGAAUUCAGUGAAUCAUCGAAUCUUUGAACGCACAUUGCGCCCGCCAGCAUUCUGGCGGGCAUGCCUGUUCGAGCGUCAUUUCAACCCUCGAGCCCCCCCGGGGGCCUCGGUGUUGGGGGACGGCACACCAGCCGCCCCCGAAAUGCAGUGGCGACCUCGCCGCAGCCUCCCCUGCGUAGUAGCACACACCUCGCACCGGAGCGCGGAGACGGUCACGCCGUAAAACGCCCAACUUCUUAGAGUUGACCUCGGAUCAGGUAGGAAUACCCGCUGAACUUAAGCAUAUCAUAAGCGGAGGA